rnacentral:rRNA from 1 species
AACGAACGCUGGCGGCAGGCUUAACACAUGCAAGUCGAGCGCCCCGCAAGGGGAGCGGCAGACGGGUGAGUAACGCGUGGGAAUCUACCCAUCUCUACGGAAUAACGCAUGGAAACGUGUGCUAAUACCGUAUACGUCCUUCGGGAGAGAGAUUUAUCUGAGAUGGAUGAGCCCGCGUUGGAUUAGCUAGGUGGUGGGGUAAAGGCCUACCAAGGCGACGAUCCAUAGCUGGUCUGAGAGGAUGAUCAGCCACACUGGGACUGAGACACGGCCCAGACUCCUACGGGAGGCAGCAGUGGGGAAUAUUGGACAAUGGGGGCAAGCCUGAUCCAGCCAUGCCGCGUGAGUGAUGAAGGCCCUAGGGUUGUAAAGCUCUUUCACCGGUGAAGAUAAUGACGGUAACCGGAGAAGAAGCCCCGGCUAACUUCGUGCCAGCCGCCGCGGUAAGAC